ACAGCAAAGCAGAGCUGCUCCGAGACAGACAUAUUAGAAGGUCAUAUUAGCACAUUCCUCCCUUACAUCUGCAAAGAGAUCAGAGUUCAUGUAUCUUUCACCCCCACUCGGCAGCAUUACACAUUUGCACCAGAAGAUAUGCCAACAAGCAGCCCCUCCUCCUUUGCAAGCCUUCUGGCCAUUGUUAUGGAUUCCUCCGAGCUUACGGUCACAACUUCAUCGAUGAUAGAUCUAUCCAAAUUUUCCGCCACGCACACGCUGCCCUCCCCACGCCGCCGCGCCGCCCGCCGUCCCCAUGCCACCGCGCUGCCCGCCGUCUACCGCCACCGCCCCGCGCGCGCACCUGCCGGAGCCGCUCGCUCUACCCCACCACUUCCUCACACGCGGCCGUCGCCGCCUCGGAUCUGUGUGUCGCCGCUGUCUACUCCCCAGCCCCGCGACUACUCCGCCGUCCACGGUUCGUCGCUGUCGCCCGUCGUCCGUGGCCACAUAGCCGUAUCACCACGACGAUUCCUCCAGAACGAAGAGCUGCUCUCCUUUCUCGGCUCCUCCGUUGGGAUCGAGAAGCUAUUCGGACAACCUCCACUCCAACCAAGCACCGCCAGAGAGGACAGAGCUGGGGCUGAGGUGGGGAGAAGAGGAGCCAGCCGCCGGUCGGCCCGUCCGUCGCUGCCCCCGUGCUCCCACCUCCUGCUUUCACGCCGACUGCCACUGCUCUUCCGGACUGGCAGAGCCCAAGCAGUAGGAGGCACCGAUGAAGAUCUCAGGUCCUGA
rnacentral:lncRNA from 1 species